CCCUGGUUGAUCCGGCCCGUAUUCUAGCUGUCUCAAAGAUGAGCCUGCCUGUGUAGUAGGAACUUUCAGACUGUGACGCGAAUCGGCUCCUAAAUCAGUUAUAGUUUGUUUGAGGUAUCUGCUACUCCGGAUCCGUAGUAAUUCUAGGCUAAUCGUGCAACAAACCGCCCGCUUCUGUAAGGGAAUGCAUUUAUUAAUCAAAGGUCGCGCGGGCUUGCCCGUUGCUCCGAUGAUUCAUGAUAACUCGACGUUCCGCACAGCCCUUGUGCUGGCGCGCAUCAUUCAAAUUUCUUUCUGCCCUAGCACUUUCGAUGGUCCGGAUAGAGGCCUACUUGGUGGUGACGGGUGACGGAGAAUUAGGGUUCGAUCCGGAGUAGUCGCCUGAGAAACGGCUUACCACAUCCAAGGAAGGCCAUCAGGCGCGCAAUUACCCAUCCUAACACUGGUAGGUAGUGACAUCAUACAUACCGGGCUCUUCGAGUCUGGUAUUUGGAUGAUACAAUCAAUCCCUUAAACGAGAAUCCAUUGUGCGGGCAAGUCUGGUGCCAGCAGCCGCGGUAAUUCCAGCUCCAAUAAGCGUAUAUUUAGUUGUUGGCCAGUUAAAAAGCUCGUAGUUUGGACCUUGGUUGGGUCACACCCAUCGUUCCGACGCCUCUGGGUGUGCCCUGUCGUCUCGUCCUUCUACCGCGUCGAUGCGGCUCCUGGCCUUAUUGGCCGGUCGUGCUCCAGGGUGCUGUUACUACGUUGAAGAAAUUAAGUGCUCAAGCAAGCCUCCGCUCUGGAUACAUUACAUGGAUAACAUCAUAGGAUUUCGGUCCCUAUUUACGUUGGCCUUUUCGAUCGGAGUAAUGAGUAAAUGACAGUCGGGGGCAUUCGAUUUCAUAGUCAGAGGUGAAAUUCUUGGAUUAUGGAAAGAACGAACCCUGCGAAAGCAUUUGCCAAGGAUUUUUUCAUUAAUCAAGAACGAAAGUUGGGGGCUCGAAGACGAUCAGAUCCGUCCUAGUCUCAACCAUAAACGAUGCCGACCAGGGAUCAGCGGAUGUUGCUUUUUAGGACUCCGCUGGCACCUUAUGAGAAUCAAGUUUUUGGGUUCCGGGGGGGAGUAUGGUCGCAAGGCUGAAACUUAAAGGAAUUGACGGAAGGGCACCACCAGAGUGGAGCCUGCGCUUUAAUUUGACUCAACACGGGGAAACUUACAGGUCCAGACCAUAGUAAGGAUUGACUAGACUGAGAGCUCUUUCUUGAUUCUAUGGGCUUGUGGUGCAUGGCCGUUCUUAGUUUUGGUGGAGCGAUUUGUCUGGUUAAUUCCGUUAACGAACUGAGACCAUCAGCCUGCUAACUAGCUACGUGGAGGUGACCCUCCACGGCCAGCUUCUUAGAGGGACUAUGGCCGUUUUAGGCCACGGAAGUUUGAGGCAAAACAGGGUCUGUGAUGCCCUUAGAUGUUCUGGGCCGCACGCGCCGCUACACUGAUGUAUUCAACGAGUCUAUAGCCUUGGCCGACAGGCCCGGGUAAUCUUUGACAAGUUUGAUUCAUAAUCGUGAUGGGGAUAGAUCAUUGCAAUGAUUUUGGUCUUCAACGAGGCUGGAUUCCUAGUAGCGCGAGUCAUCAUAGCUCGCGUUGACACGGUCCCUGCCCUUUGUACACACCGCAGAGUCGGGGGAGGUGUGGGUGCCGUGGGGGGUGGGGUGGAGGGUGGCGUGAGUGUGGGCGCUCCUACGAAUUGAAUGGGCCGUGAAGUGUUCGGAUCGCGGCGACGUGGGCGGUUUCGCCGCCGGCGACGUCGCGAGAAGUCCACGAACCUUAUCAUUUAGAGGAAGGAGAAGUCGUCACAAGGUUUCCGUAGGUGAACCUGCGGAAGGAUCAUUG